CUAACUUACUAUCAGGAGGGGGAUAGCCCGGCGAAAGUCGGAUUAAUACCCCAUAAAACAGGGGGUCCCGCAUGGGAAUAUUUGUUAAAGAUUCAUCGCUGAUAGAUAGGCAUGCGUUCCAUUAGGGUAGUAGGCGGGGUAACGGCCACCUAGCCUGCGAUGGAUAGGGGUUCUGAGAGGAAGGUCCCCCACAUUGGAACUGAGACACGGUCCAAACUCCUACGGGAGGCAGCAGUGAGGAAUAUUGGUCAAUGGGCGAGAGCCUGAACCAGCCAAGUAGCGUGCAGGAUGACGGCCCUAUGGGUUGUAAACUGCUUUUAUAAGGGAAUAAAGUGGGAGUCGUGACUCUUUUGCAUGUACCUUAUGAAUAAGGACCGGCUAAUUCCGUG
rnacentral:rRNA from 1 species